rnacentral:lncRNA from 1 species
CUACUUUGAGAUAGGUCAUGAGGCGGGUAAGUAUGUGAGAGCCACUACCGGAAAGACUGAUGGACAGGGACAAGGUGAAGGUUAUCACGCUUGAAUUUCUCAAAUAAUGCAGCCAUGGAGUUAUAGCGCACGCUGCAACAAACGUGGACACUGUUCCGGCGUAGGCCACCAUCGCAUGUCGAGUCGGGGACUUAAAGAUCACAUAAGGGUCCAUUUCUAGACCCAAAACGAAGGCAUAUGAAAUCAUGCCGAAGUCAACGAUGUUUUCCAAAGUAAUGCUGAAUAGGCUUGUGAAAGAAUCACGUGCAUGUGGUAAGCUUGCAAGAAUCAGCCCUAUCUGCAUGCAUUAGAAACACCAACGUAUAACUUAGCUUUAGUUAUUAUAUAUAAUCACAAACCAAUGCAAUGAAAUCAAUUUCAGGACAACAUGGGAAUUAGAUACAUACGACAAGAUCAGAAGUCAUGUAAGGUUGGGAGAAAGGCUUUAAAAGGUGGUGCACAACUCUGCUAAGAACAUAUGUUGCAAUAAGAGCAACCAUCUUCCCAGAAAAGCUUACACUGGCGGCAUCAAAUCUUAAAAAGCAUGGAUGGAAGGUGACGUUUGCGGAUGUGGUUACCGGCGGCAUCUUUGGCAAUUAAGUUAAAGGUGUCUUGUUGUUUUUUUUUUUCCUUAUUUCUUUUCUUGUUCGUGUUUCCAAAUCCAAAAUUUGAUACAAAUUAUUUAUUAGCUACAAAUCAAUCUCUUCUUUUUUGGGGGGGUGGGAUGUAAAAUUUGUCACAAUUUUCAUUGUGCUGGUGAAUCUUUAGCAGGAGGUGGAACGAGUGGAUGCAAAUUGUUGCAAUAUUACGAGGAGCAGAAAUGGAGGAGCAAGUCGAGGAGAUUGAAACAUGUGAGUGGUGAAUCUAGAUUCAUAUAUAUAAUAAUAUAUGAAUCCAAGACAAAUAGAAAAUUAUCAAAGACGGUACACGUACGAAUCCACUGGGUCUUUUUGGAGUCCUUUUUAUAUACAUAUAGACCAGGGUAUUCUCAUCAAUUUCUAGGAUUUAUUUUCUGAUUGUCUCCGAAUAUUUGAACAGUUCAACUAAGUCACUUUUCAGCACGAAUAUAAUAUAUCAUACCCAUAAUAAUAAAUUUAAUUUACAUAUUUUGUUAAUUUAG